rnacentral:lncRNA from 1 species
AGAGGUGAAAGCAAAAUGAAAGUCCUGGUGACAUCAGCCUUGGCAGUCCCUAAUGGAAAGUGGCCCUGCCAGGCCCUGCUCUCUUGUUCAAUCCGGGAACGCUUUCCAUUAAUGCUAUUAAACCGGCACAGCGGUCAGAGGCAGAGCUGGCCUGGCCGCCUGUGCUCAGUUCCAACUGCUGAAUCAUCUCCAUCUCGUUUGCCCUUCCUAGUACCUUGAAGACGUAGAAGAAGCAGAGGAGGGGGGAGAAGCACGGAGGACUAUCAACUUCAGCACAUCCUUAAUAGGAAGCAGUUUGGCCGGUCCCUUCCCUGCCUGGGAACUCUUUCCAUUAAAAACAUUUCUCUACCACAGCUGUAUUUUAGACUUAUCAUUGUAGCCUCUGCCCAAAGGAAAAUUCUCUCCACCCGCAACCACGUACAGAGGGCGAUUUCCUUCUAAGGGUGGAAAGACACUCUUUUCAGCAUACGGCAGGAUGGCUUGACCUCAGCCAAGAAACCCAGUAACAUCCUGACCUUCUGAAACAGACGGGAGGGUCAGAGGAGGCUUUUGUUGCUGCUCGCAGGACUCAGCUCCACCCAAAGGUACACAAAAACCCCAGAACUGAAGACGGAUGAAGACACCAAGGAGGCAAUGAAAGUCAGACAUAACCAAAAGGAGCAAAGGAAAUCUCCGAGCUGGAAAAUUAGAGCCAAAGAAAUUCUAUUAUUAGGACAAGCUCAGCGACCUCUGUUCUCAAGCCUGUUUGGGGCGGGGGGCGGUUUGCAAAGAGGGCUACACUGCCCUCUAUUGGGGGCCUAUCAGCACGCAGCUAAAGGGCUUCUCAUUCAAGGUCUUGAUUGAUGAGCCCCCCACCCCACAACUUAGGAGCUAUAAUUAGCUGAACAAAAGCAAAACAAAACAGAAACUGAGACCACAGACAUCAGGUAACUUGCCCAAGGUCAUGCACCUGAGUCGCGGCACAGGCGAGGAUGCUAAAGCAGGGACAAAUGACUUCAAGAAUCAUUUUCCUGCCAUUUAUCUUUAUAGAUAAUCUUUCCAUCUUGGACUCAGAUAACCUUCAAACUUGAGAAUCUGCCAGUGCUCUCUCUGGUCUGGUGGUUCUCGAAGGUCACUGUGUAUUAGAAUCACCCGGAGACGCGCAUUAACUUGCCAAGAACUCAAGCCCCAUGGCCAGAAAUUCUGAUUAUAAUUGACUUGGGGUAGAUCCUGGCUUGAGCAGAUUUUGUGAGUUCUCCAGGUGAUUCUCAGGUGUAGCCAGCACUGAGAAUUUCUGCUCUAGCUGCAGAAGAGAUGGAGAAAAAAACGGGGGUUCUUUCAAAUCCAGGACAUAAUACUUAAGAGAAAGAAAGUUUAGGGAGUUCCCUUCAUGGCUCAAUGGUUAGCAAAUCCGACUAGGAUCCAUGAGGAUGCGGGUUGGAUCCCUGGCCUGGGUUCGGGAUCCUGCGUUGCCAUAAGCUGUGGUGUAGGUCACAGACACGGCUCUGGUCCCUCGUGUCUACAGCAUAGGCCAGCGGCUGUAGCUCCAAUUCAACCCCUGGUCUGGGAACUUCUAUAUGCCGCAGGUGCAGCCCUGAAAAAACAAAAAAAAACAAAAAAAGAAAGCAAGAAAGGAAAUCACGUUUUAAGGAAGUGAGCUCCCUAGAGGAAUGUGACAGUUAUGCUGUGUGACAUUGUGAACAACAGUGUCCAAAGAAUGCCACAUCCUAAUCCCUGGAAACCAUAAAUGUGGUACCUCUCAUGGAAAAGGGGACUUUACCACUGUGAUUACGCUAAAGAUCUUGCAGGAGAAAGAUUAUCCUGAAUUAUCUGGGUGGCCUCGAUAUAACCACGAGGGUCCCAUAAGAAAGGCAGGGGAGUCAGGGUAAGAGGAGGAGAUGUGAUGCCAGGAGCUGAGGUUGGAGGGUGUGAGGAAGGGAUCCAUGGAUGUGGAUCCUACAUCCAAGGAUGUGGCAGCUCUUAGCAAUACCUUGACUUUAGCCCAGCAAGACUGGUUUUGGACUUGUGUCCUCCAGAUCUGUAAGAAUAAACAAAUUUGUAUGGUUUUAAGCCCGUAGGUUAUGGUCGUAUAUUCCCAUAACUACAGGAACUAAUACAGAUAUUGUGUACCUUAUUUCACUUCUCAGAGACUCUUUGCCCACAUCUAAAAUAGUGUCGUCUUACUUCAGUAGAGCAGUUUUGAGGAUUAAAUGCUUUAAUUAGAAACAAAAUGCUUAAAACGGCAGCUUGAUAAACAGGGCUUACUAUGGAUAGAGGUCUCGUGGGGCAGGAAGUGAUGUGAAAAAAGAGAGACUUCCAGCUGUGCCCAGAUACAUUUCUAUGGGACAAGGGAUUGAGGCAAAUAGAACAAAAUUAGCGGAGACUGGUACGAAAGAGCAGCUGCAGCAGGAUUUCUCAGCCUGCCGGCCUUUGGGAAGAUUUUGCACCUGUCUCUUCUGAACAUCCCGUCAUAUUCUUAGUACUGUUGCAUCUGCCCUUCACUCCGCAGAACUCCUCUCCUUCACUGUGCACAUUCCUGCAGUGAGAGAAGAGGACCAGGAAUCAUCAAGACACUGGAAAUGCUCUAAAAUACAUGUUCCCUAGCAUUUCACUCAUGGUCCAAAUAUAGGCAGCAGAUCAAUUUCUGAGCUUGUUCUCAAUUUCAGGUUCUUAAACCCUUUCGAGAAUAAUGAUGUUUUCUACCUGUUUCCAUUUGGUGGAAUUAUGAUUAGUAAUGCAUGUGCUACCACUGGCUAUACUGGCGAUCUUGGACCAAUGACUCUCUUUUUCAGCUUCCUCAUCUGUAAAAUGAGGCCAAGGAUAACACCCACCUGUAGGGUAGCUGUAAGCAUUAAAUGCUUUCUACAGGCAGAGGGCAUUGUGAAGUGCCUGGCGCACUUUCAAGAGCUCAGCAAGUUAGCUGUUAACAUUCCUAACGAGGUCAUUUUUAUUUGGGACAAAUAAUUGAGGAUAGGUGAAAGGAAGCGCUCACUUGGACAACCUGGGAUGAAAGAGAGUAAUUUUCAAUAUCCUUUGAUUGUCUUCUCAGUUUCUCUUAAGGAACUACAAGAGAAAAUAGCCCCAAAUAGGAGUCAUAUAGUCAUUUAUUGAGUGCCUAUUGUAUACUAGGAACUCUUCUAGGACCUGAGAACUUAAAAGAUAAAUACAAUCCAUUUCCUGUCCUCAAGGAAUGUCCAAGCUAAUGGUGGAAAGAGGCGUGGUGAAUUUCCAUUGUAAGACAGCAAGAUACAGGUUAGCAUUGGGGUAGGUUUGGUGUAAUGAAUAUGUGCAUAGGAGAGACUUAAAUCUUGAUCUGGGGCAGGGCCAUCGGGAGAGCUUCCUGGAAAAGUGAUACCCAAGCUGGCUGAGCAGUUGUUUUGCAGAUAAAGGGAUACUGUGUGGAGAGUUUUAGAGGAGAUGAGCUCUUCUGAAGAUUUGUGGUCCAGAGCAAGCAGUGUUUUCAGGAAACACACAUCAUCAAAUAAGCAUGAUGUGUGGGGCCGGGCCCAGAAUAGGUGGGGUGAAGGAGAGGCAUUGAGACAUUCGGCUGGAGAUCUAAGUGCCAUUCAGAGCACACAGUGACUUAAGAACCAUGAUAAGUUCAGAUUUUUAGCGUGAAGACAGUGGGGAGCUAUUGAAAGACUUUAAGCGGGGCCAUUCUGUAAUAAGAUUUGAUCUUUAGCUCGCUCUCAGAGGAACAGCUGAAGAGGGAUAACAUGAAAGUCAAAAGAUAAACUGAAAGGUGACUGCAAUAAUCCUGGUGAAAGAUAAUCGACCAUGGAGCUAAAGUACUGGCAGUGAGGGUGAACAGGGGUGGACAUUAGAGCAAUAGAGUGGCAGAUGGUGUGGUGAGAUAAGAGAAGGUGAAAAAAACCUGACAUCCACUAGGUCAGGAAAUACAGGAAGCAGCAGUUUGAGUGGCAAGUGAUAACUCCACUUUAGGCCGGUUGAUCUGGCCAUGUUGAAGGGCUGUAGACCUUCAUGGGUAAUCUGCAGCUGGCGGUAGGACAUGAGUCUGGAGUUCAAGAGAGAGAUUUGGGAUGGAGACCUAGACUGGAUAUCAUCCGUCCCUAGGGGGUCUGUUUGAAACCAUGGAAGUUAUGAGACCACCCAGGAAGAGGGAGAUGCAGGUUGAGAAGAUGGUCAGUGACCUAAGACCGGGCAAAGGAAGAAAGGACAGUCUAAACUGGGAGACUCAGCCUAAACACCCCAAGUGAUUGGCGUGGCCAGGAAAUCCUGGCAGCGAAGGCUUUAAAGGAGGGAGUGGUUCCCAGUGCUGAGUGCUUCACUGAAGCCAGAGGAGGCAAGGAUAUGGACCUGACUAGAUGAAGGCCAUUGCCAACUUUGCUUCUACCUUUUUUGGGAAGGGAUCAGGGUGAAAAAGCCUGAUGGUUGCGGGCAAGAAGUAGAAGACCAGCAAGGGGAGAGAGCAGACGAGGACCUCUCCAGAUGAAGGCAUGGCAUGCUCUUGCAAGAGCUUUGUCUGAGGAGAGCAGAGAGAUAAGUUAGUAAUCAGAAGAAAGCAGGAGGUAGAGGUUAACAUAUGAAAAACUUGAGAAGAUUGAAAUGCUGCUGGUGAGGAAGAACGGAAGAAAGAAAGGGUUGAAAAUACCAUGGAUCUUCACUGUUAUUAGAUUCUGUAUUUGCAAAUUCUCCUACUUGUAAAUUCACACAUAACGCAAAAAGCAACACUUGAAGCGUCUUCAGGGUCAUUCCUGGACAUGUAUGUGCUCAGAGCAGCAAAUUAUAUGAGUCUCCCUUAUUUGCGUAUUCCCAGCUGAGGUUGAACAAGUGAUGCUCUGCCUUCUCACUUAAGCUUUCAUGCUGUAAAUAAGCAUCCUUUCUCAUGAUUUAUUGAGUACUGUGUUUUUCACAUUUUGUGCUUUUUAUUGAUUAUGUCACUGUUUAAAGUUUUCUCAAGUAUGGAGCUAAAAUAUUGUCUAGUGUUUCUAAGAAGGCCGAGGGCAGUAAUGAACCAGACUAGUAUCCAUGAGGAUGUGGGUUUAUAAUCCCUGGCCACACUCAGUGGGUUAACUCUCCAGUGUUGCCAUGAGCUGUGGUGUAGGUUGCAGUCAUGACUCAGAUCCUGAGUUGCUGUGGCUGUGGCGUGGGCCAGCAGCUGCAGCUCCGAUUCAACCCCUAGCCUGGGAACUUCCACAUGCCACAGGUGCA